rnacentral:rRNA from 1 species
GAAAUCUUCAGCUUGCUGAAGAGAGUAAAGUGGCGCACGGGUGAGUAACGCGUGGGUAAUCUACCCUUGAAUCGGGGAUAACAUUGCGAAAGCGAUGCUAAUACCGGAUAACAUCAUAUUAACCUUGGUUUUUAUGAUCAAAGAUGACCUCUACAUGUAAGUUAUUGUUUGAGGAGGAGCCCGCGUACCAUUAGCUAGUUGGUGGGGUAAAGGCCUACCAAGGCUACGAUGGUUAGCUGGUCUGAGAGGAUGAUCAGCCACACUGGAACUGACACACGGUCCAGACUCCCACGGGAGGCAGCAGUGAGGAAUUUUGCGCAAUGGGGGAAACCCUGACGCAGCAACGCCGCGUGAGUGAUGAAGGCUUUAGGGUCGUAAAGCUCUGUCAAGUGGGAAGAACCUAUCCGGUAAUAAUACUGCCGGAUACUGACGGUACCACUGAAGGAAGCACCGGCUAACUCCGUGCCAGCAGCCGCGGUAAUACGGGGGGUGCAAGCGUUAUUCGGAAUCAUUGGGCGUAAAGGGCACGCAGGCGGCCUGGUAAGUCAGAUGUGAAAGCCCGGGGCUUAACCCCGGAAGGGCAUUUGAAACUAUCAGGCUUGAGUAUGGGAGAGGGAAGUGGAAUUCCUGGUGUAGAGGUGAAAUUCGUAGAUAUCAGGAGGAACACCGGUGGCGAAGGCGACUUCCUGGACCAAUACUG